UACGGAGGUGGCAAGCGUUGUUCGGAAUUACUGGGCGUAAAGGGCGCGUAGGCGGGGAGGCAAGUCGGGUGUGAAAUCCCUUGGCUCAACCAAGGAACGGCGCCCGAAACUGCCUCUCUUGAGUCCCGGAGAGGAAGAUGGAAUUCCCGGUGUAGCGGUGAAAUGUGUAGAGAUCGGGAGGAACACCGGUGGCGAAGGCGGUCUUCUGGACGGUGACUGACGCUGAGGCGCGAAAGCGUGGGGAGCAAACGGG
rnacentral:rRNA from 1 species